rnacentral:rRNA from 1 species
CCUACGGGGGGCAGCAGUGAGGAAUAUUGGUCAAUGGGCGAGAGCCUGAACCAGCCAAGUCGCGUGAGGGAGGACGGCCCUACGGGUUGUAAACCUCUUUUGCCGGGGGACAAACGGCGGCACGCGUGCCGUCCUGAGGGUACCCGGAGAAAAAGCAUCGGCUAACUCCGUGCCAGCAGCCGCGGUAAUACGGAGGAUGCGAGCGUUAUCCGGAUUUAUUGGGUUUAAAGGGUGCGUAGACGGCCAUGCAAGCCAGGGGUGAAAGCCCGGGGCCCAACCCCGGGACUGCCCUUGGAACUGCAUGGCUGGAGUGCGGGAGGGGCAGGCGGAAGUCCUGGUGUAGCGGUGAAAUGCGUAGAUAUCAGGAGGAACACCGGCGGCGAAGGCGGCCUGCUGGACCGCGACUGACGUUGAGGCUCGAAAGCGUGGGGAGCGAACAGGAUUAGAUACCCUAGUAGUC